rnacentral:rRNA from 1 species
UACGUAGGGGGCUAGCGUUGUCCGGAAUCAUUGGGCGUAAAGAGCGUGUAGGCGGUCCGGUAAGUCCGCUGUGAAAGUCGGGGGCUCAACCCUCGAAUGCCGGUGGAUACUGUCGGGCUAGAGUGCGGAAGAGGUGAGUGGAAUUCCUGGUGUAGCGGUGAAAUGCGCAGAUAUCAGGAGGAACACCUAUUGCGAAGGCAGCUCGCUGGGACGUAACUGACACUGAGACGCGAAAGCGUGGGGAGCAAACAGG